GGUUUGAAAGAAAAAAAAUUAAAGGAGGACAUAAAAAUAAAAAGUAAGGCAAAAUGUAAUAAACAGAUACAGACGCUAUCCUUGUAUAAGAAAAGACUGGCAUCACACAAAAACUGUAAUAGAAUUGUCACUGGGAAGUAUUUGCCCAAAUAGAGACUAUAUCCUCCAGACCAAUCGUUCUCAAGAAUAACUGUGGAAUAAUGCUGACGAUGCAACAUCCUGAGAUGAGAAAGAACUAACCAGCACAGCCCAAGCUGUGUUCCUUUAGAAACAACAUAUCCUUCAGUGUUUUAGCCCAGGGUGUCCAAUGCCCUCCAGGUUAUAAAACCCAGGGUACACUGCUUUCUAGUUGCCUUCAGUUGUAGCGCAGGUGAAGCAUGUGCAGACACAAUUCCACCUGCCCUAAGCAGCUUCCUGAAACUUGAGGGAAUGGCUUCUCUUGAA